rnacentral:rRNA from 1 species
UACAGAGGUCUCAAGCGUUUGUUCGGAUUCAUUGGGCGUAAAGGGUGCGUAGGCGGCGCGGUAAGUCGGGUGUGAAAUCUCGGAGCUUAACUCCGAAACUGCAUUCGAUACUGCCGUGCUUGAGGACUGGAGAGGAGACUGGAAUUUACGGUGCAGCGGUGAAAUGCGUAGAUAUCGUAAGGAAGACCAGUGGCGAAGGCGGGUCUCUGGACAGUUCCUGACGCUGAGGCACGAAGGUCAGGGGGAGCAAACGGGG